rnacentral:rRNA from 1 species
AUUGAACGCUGGCGGCAUGCCUUACACAUGCAAGUCGAACGGUAACAGGUCUUCGGAUGCUGACGAGUGGCGAACGGGUGAGUAAUACAUCGGAACGUGCCCGAGAGUGGGGGAUAACGAGGCGAAAGCUUUGCUAAUACCGCAUACGAUCUCAGGAUGAAAGCAGGGGACCGCAAGGCCUUGCGCUCACGGAGCGGCCGAUGGCAGAUUAGGUAGUUGGGGGGAUAAAAGCUUACCAAGCCGACGAUCUGUAGCUGGUCUGAGAGGACGACCAGCCACACUGGGACUGAGACGCGGCCCAGACUCCUACGGGAGGCAGCAGUGGGGAAUUUUGGACAAUGGGCGCAAGCCUGAUCCAGCCAUGCCGCGUGCAGGAUGAAGGCCUUCGGGUUGUAAACUGCUUUUGUACGGAACGAAAAGGCUCUGGUUAAUACCUGGGGUCCAUGACGGUACCGUAAGAAUAAGCACCGGCUAACUACGUGCCAGCCGCCGCCGUAAGAC